rnacentral:rRNA from 1 species
CUAAGGUAGCGAAAUUCCUUGUCGGGUAAGUUCCGACCUGCACGAAUGGUGUAACCAUGGCCAUGCUGUCUCCACCCGAGACUCAGUGAAAUCGAAUUCGCCGUGAAGAUGCGGUGUACCCGCGGCUAGACGGAAAGACCCCGUGAACCUUUACUACAGCUUGGCACUGAACAUUGAACCUACAUGUGUAGGAUAGGUGGGAGGCUUUGAAGGCGUGACGCCAGUUGCGCUGGAGCCGUCCUUGAAAUACCACCCUUGUAUGUUUGAUGUUCUAACGCAGGGCCCUGAAUCGGGCUCGCGGACAGUGCCUGGUGGGUAGUUUGACUGGGGCGGUCUCCUCCCAAAGAGUAACGGAGGAGCACGAAGGUUGGCUAAUCCUGGUCGGACAUCAGGAGGUUAGUGCAAUGGCAUAAGCCAGCUUGACUGCGAGCGUGACGGCGCGAGCAGGUGCGAAAGCAGGUCAUAGUGAUCCGGUGGUUCUGAAUGGAAGGGCCAUCGCUCAACGGAUAAAAGGUACUCCGGGGAUAACAGGCUGAUACCGCCCAAGAGUUCAUAUCGACGGCGGUGUUUGGCACCUCGAUGUCGGCUCAUCACAUCCUGGGGCUGAAGUCGGUCCCAAGGGUAUGGCUGUUCGCCAUUUAAAGUGGUACGCGAGCUGGGUUCAGAACGUCGUGAGACAGUUCGGUCCCUAUCUGCCGUGGGCGUUGGAUGAUUGAAGGGAGUUGCUCCUAGUACGAGAGGACCGGAGUGAACGAACCUCUGGUGUUCGGGUUGUCACGCCAGUGGCACUGCCCGGUAGCUAAGUUCGGAAUCGAUAACCGCUGAAAGCAUCUAAGCGGGAAGCGAGCCCUGAGAUGAGUCAUCCCUGACCCCUUGAGGGUCCUAAAGGGCCGUUGGAGACCACAACGUUGAUAGGUGGGGUGUGUAAGCGCGGCGACGUGUUGAGCUAACCCAUACUAAUUACCCGUGAGGCUUAACCAU